UCACCGGGAAUACAUUCAUCAA
rnacentral:miRNA from 1 species